UAUCUCUGUAGAGUCUGCAUAUCAAUAAGCGGAGGAAAAGAAACUAACCAGGAUUCCCUCAGUAACGGCGAGUGAAGCGGGAAGAGCUCAAAUUUGAAAUCUUCAAGGUUUUACCUUGACGAAUUGUAGUUUAAAGAAGUGUUUUCUGUUGGAGUUUUGGUAAAAGUUCUUUGGAAUAGGACAUCAUAGAGGGUGAGAAUCCCGUAUUUGACCAUUAUUUCCAGCUUUGUGAUACACUUUCAAAGAGUCGGAUUGUCUGGGAAUGCAGUCCAAAGUGGGUGGUAAAUUUCAUCUAAAGCUAAAUACUGGCGAGAGACCGAUAGCGAACAAGUACCGUGAGGGAAAGAUGAAAAGAACUUUGAAAAGAGAGUUAAACAGUACGUGAAAUUGUCAAAAGGGAAGCGUUUGACACCAGUGUUGUUUCUACGAAAAUCAAUUUAUGAUGGCUUGAUGCUAAGCUUUAAGACUUUAUCCGCUUGUUGUUUAGUUUUCUUGUCUUUGUGAAUGCACUUUUCGUGGAACAAGUCAACAUCAAUUUCUUUUGUUGUAAAAGAGGUCAUUGGGAGGUGGCUUUCUUUUCGGAGAAAGUGUUUAUAGCCUUUGGCUUCUGCAAUCGGAGAGGUUGAGGUCUGCAGCGUAGAUCCUUCGGGGUUAGAUACAUUUGUGCUAAGUUAUAGCCUUUCAUAGACAACUUGUUGACUAUGAUCAGUCAUGUAGCUUACUCGCUUAUGCUAUUUUACCUACGCUUAGGAUGUUGAGUCAUCACACAUCUCU
rnacentral:rRNA from 1 species